AUACGUAGGUGGCGAGCGUUGUCCGGAAUUACUGGGCGUAAAGGGUGCGUAGGCGGUAAGAUAAGUCAGAUGUGAAAUUCCGGGGCUUAACCUCGGAAUUGCAUUUGAAACUGUGUUACUAGAGUGCAGGAGAGGAAAGCGGAAUUCCUAGUGUAGCGGUGAAAUGCGUAGAUAUUAGGAAGAACACCAGUGGCGAAGGCGGCUUACUGGUCCAUUACUGACGCUGAGGUGCGAAAGCGUGGGGAGC
rnacentral:rRNA from 1 species